UACGAAGGGGGCUAGCGUUGCUCGGAAUGACUGGGCGUAAAGGGCGCGUAGGCGGAUGGCACAGUCAGAUGUGAAAUUCCCGGGCUUAACCUGGGGGCUGCAUUUGAUACGUGUUGUCUUGAGUUCGGAAGAGGGUCGUGGAAUUCCCAGUGUAGAGGUGAAAUUCGUAGAUAUUGGGAAGAACACCGGUGGCGAAGGCGGCGACCUGGUCCGACACUGACGCUGAGGCGCGAAAGCGUGUGGAGCAAACAGG
rnacentral:rRNA from 1 species